GUUGAGAGAUGGAGAGGAUCACUGAUCUGCGAACCUACAUAUACACGCACCAUCUCGCGACACGUUUACGGCAUGUGGAGUUGUGUGGGGAGUUUGCGCGAGUUCUCGGGCUUUAUUCGAUUAAAGAAAGCGCCUUUUCGGGGGAGUUGGGGCUGCAGAUUGCACUAUUGCAGGGUGUGUGUGUGUGAAGUAAACCGAUACUCGCUGGUCAGCCUUUGUCUUUGCAGGCCGCGAAUCGCCGAACCUCAAGCGCCCUUCAAAUGCCUAAAAUCAUGUGCGUUUGCCAAGAGACGGCUUUCCUGUGCAGCUGAAAAUUCAGACGACAGGAAUAAUUCAAAACCAUAUUCUGCACCGAUCCGAUUUGCUUCCAACAACUACACUUCGUGUUCGUAAACGUCAAGGUUCCAGCAAAGGAUAAAGGCUUGGAACGUGGAGCUCAUCCGACAUGCAUAUCUUGGUUUGAGUGCAGAUCAAGGUACUUUAAAAAGACAGGUAGCUUUAUCCAGAACAAAUCCCCGAUUUUAUUUUAGAAAAAACUUCAGAGUUUGACAUUCACGGGAUGGUGGGAUGUUUACUUCGGGAACGCUCUUUUCGGAGCUGUUUUCGCUUUUCCGUGGUAUUACGACAGUUAAAAUUCACGAAAAGUGGCAGGAAAGUUGAAGUUUAUGCAAAUAUUCCCAAAAUUCUUUCAAUAGUUUCAAUAUGGUAUCGGUCCGUAGGUCUUGCCACCCGGCCUAGAACAAGAGCUAGCUAGCGUUCCUGGACCGUGCUCACUCGCUGUAAAACACAACUCGGUCGCUCGAAUGAUCUUAAAUCGAGAGAUGAAUCAUUUAAACAUUCGAAAAAGAGUGAAAUCAAGUACUUUCCCUGAUAAAACCACCAAACUUGCCCACAUCUUCUUCUUCUUCUUCUUGAAACUCACGUGGUUUUGUUGAUAAAAAGCGCCCUGCUAUGAAUGUCAAACAAAUUGAAAAUGGUGACCUGUCAAAGCGGUUAAGAUGCUACCUGUCUUUUUAAAGUACCUUGGUGCAGAUGGACCUCAUCUGCAUCGACGUCAGAAGGAAACGGAAUCUAAACUAUUCGUGCUCCCACUGAGAGAGAUGAUUUGCAGUUGCACAUCUCGAAUGCACUCGGAAAUACGCACACGUUCACCUACUCGUUAGGCAAGGCACAUACGCUGAAUGACGAUUCAAGAAGACUACAACGAAUGUGUAUGAAAGUUCAAGUUUAUUGUUCCGAUAAUCGCCGUUUGUCAAUGAAAUUAUAUGUAAGGCACAAGAAGUGAUGGAUUAGGAUAUAAAAUGUAUUGUUUAGAAGGGAUCAUAUGUACUCCAGGUUGUAUUAGUAUAGUCCGGAUGCAACUACAUUCCUGCAACGGUUAUUAAUUAGAGACAUUGUAUUGAAAAAAUACGAUUGACGAUGAUUAUUAAUCUGCUACAAUGCCUCUCUCACACUAUUCGGUGUAUCGAGGUACGGUGUAUCUGAUGCUUUAGGUUGAUUAUCCUUUAAAAAAGGGGGCAUUAUCCUGAAAAGCAACAUUUUCGAGUCCCGAUAGUCCCAAUCAUUUACUACUCGUUAGUAUGAAUCGUCUUGAUAUAUACUUUAGGAUAAAAAAACAUAUGUAGUGCUUUCUUACAACAAAUAGGCACGAUUCGCAUAAGUUGAUACUCCGAGACAAGCAAUGAGCAGCAAUACGCACAAGCGGCAGCAGCAUAUCACAAAUCACUGAUUCAAAUUACUUACGGAGCAUAUUUGAACUGUUCAGCAACAUCUACAUCUCAAAUGAUUCAAGAGGUUGUAGAGUUGUAUCUUCGUCAAGUUGCCUAAUUUAAGGGGAUACAUAUUUGCAAAUUUAUCGGUUAAAUAAUCACUUUGGUUGUAUGGAAGAGGGGAGGAAGUAUAAGGCAUAUAUUAGACAUGUAAGCACAGAGAAAACGGUUGAUCUAUCCUGAAAGAUUCCUUUAUUUUUGGACGAAACUUGUACCAACAACAAAUUGAGAUUUAAGUGAUAAAUCCAAUGCAAUGAGCCAGAAACUUGAAAACAUCGUGAAGAAAGGUAAUAGGUAAGGAAGGGUGUUAUAACAUGCUUUGUUGUUAUAACAUCUCAUCCGAUUGAUCGGAAAUCUUUAUCUUGAGUAGAUUGUCUAUAUGGUAAUAUACCACUAAAU